rnacentral:rRNA from 1 species
CCUACGGGGGGCAGCAGUGGGGAAUCUUGCACAAUGGGGGAAACCCUGAUGCAGCAACGCCGCGUGAGUGAAGAAGUAUCUCGGUACGUAACGCUCUAUCAGCAGGGGAGAAAAUGACGGUACCUGACUAAGAAGCCCCGGCUAACUACGUGCCAGCAGCCGCGGUACUACGUAGGGGGCAAGCGUUAUCCGGAUUUACUGGGUGUAAAGGGAGCGUAGACGGCAGCACAAGUCUGGAGUGAAAUCCCGGGGAGUAACCCCGGAAGUGCGUUGGAAACUGUGCGGCUGGAGUGCAGGAGGGGUAAGCGGAAUUCCUAGUGUAGCGGUGAAAUGCGUAGAGAUUAGGAGGAACACCGGUGGCGAAGGCGGCUUACUGGACUGUAACUGACGUUGAGGCUCGAAAGCGUGGGGAGCAAACAGGAUUAGAUACCCUGGUAGUC